UUCGUCUUGCUACCUGAAUUAAAUUUUUUGGUAGACAGAAUUCGAGAGCAAGGCUAGCUCAUGAUACGUGCAGAAGAAGUAACAUCCAAUUCACUUUUUCUAGAGAUGGAUGAGUCAUAUGGUACCAUCAGCCAAUACACUUCCUUUCCAUCCAAAGCAAAUAUAAUUCAUAGGAGGAAUGCAAGGUACUUUGGAACUGUAUGACAGUGGACGCCUAUCGGAAGAACAGGCUUUUGGUAGGACUUAAAGUGUAAAUUAUGAUUACUGGAGAGGUUUCACAUUAGGAGAUCUCGGGUUUUUCUUGCAAUUGGAUUUUGACGGGUAUGUUUUAGCCGAGCCAGGAACAAUAGAGACUGGCUCAUGGACGUUUGUGGUGCAAGGUAUCUUCAAGACAAGAAGUACAUGCAAGCCACUACAGCUGCUGGCUCAGGUAUCUCUUUGAAUGGAUAUCCACAUUCUACUAAAAGCAAGCUCCUCUGUUUCUUCUUUCAUCACAGCAGAAGUGUGUUGGUUGAUGUUGUAUGAGAGGAAGUUCCUCUGUGUUGUCUAAUGGCAUCAUGUGGCCCGUCUUGUCCAUUUUUAAAAAAUUGUAAAUUGGAUGUCAUUUCUUACGCAGGUGUGAUAAGGUUGCCUUGCUCUUGCAUUCUCUUAGAUAAUUUGAUUCAUCUUGCUGCCUGAAUUAAAUUUAUGUAGACAGAAUUCGAGAGUAAGGCUAGCUCAUGAUACGUGCAGAAGAAGUAACAUCCAAUUCACUUUUUCUAGAGAUGGAUGAGUCAUAUGGUACCAUCAGCCAAUACACUUCCUUUCCAUCCAAAGCAAAUAUUAUUCAUAGGAGGCAUGCAAGGUACUUUGGAACUGUAUGACAGUGGACGCCUGUCGGAAGAACAGGCUUUUGGUAUGACUUAAAGUGAAAAUUAUGAUUACCGGAGAGGUUUCAAAUUUGGAGAUCUCGGGUUUUUCUUGCAAUUGGAUUUUGGCGGGUAUGUUUUAGCCGAGCGGGAACAAUAGAGACUGGCUCAUGGAUGUUUGUGGUGCAAGGUAUCUUCAAGACAAGAAGUAUAGGCAAGCCACUACAGCUGCUGGCUCAGGUAUCUUCAAGACCAGAAGUACAGGCAAGCCACUACAGCUGCUGGCUCAGGUAUCUUCAAGACCAGAAGUACAGGCAAGCCACUACAGCUGCUGGCUCAGGCAUCUCUUUGAUUGGUUAUCCACAUUCUACUAAAAGCAAGCUCCUCUGUUUCUUCUUUCAUCACAACAGAAGUGUGUUGGUUGAUGUUGCAUGAGGGGAAGUUCCUCUAUGUUGUCUAAUGGCAUAAUGUGACUCGUCUUGUCCAUUUAAAAAAAAAUGUAAAUUGGAUGUCACUUCUUUCGCAGGUGUGAUAAGGUUGCCUUGCUCUUGUAUUCUCUUAGAUAAUUUGAUUCAGCUUGCUGCUAGAAUUAAAUUUUUUGGUUGAGAGAAUUCGAGAGUAAGGCUACCUCAUGAUACGUGCAGAAGAAGUAACAUCCAAUUCACUUUUUCUAGGGAUGGAUGAGUCAUAUGGUACCGUCAACCAAUACACUUCCUUUCCCUCCAAAGCAUAUAUAAUUCAUACGAGAAAUGUGUUUAGGGCUUCAAAAAUAAUGCAAAGUACUUUGGAACUGUAUGACAGUGGAGGCCUGUCGGAAGAAGAGGCUUUUGGUAGGAUUUAAAGUGAAAAUUAUGAUUACCGGAGAGGUUUCAAAUUUGGAGAUCUCGAGUUUUUCUUGCAAUUGGAUUUUGACGGGUAUGUUGUAGCCGAGCCAGGAACAAUAGAGACUAGCUCAUGGACGUUUGUGCUGCUAGGUAUAUUAAAAACAAGAAGUACAUGCAAGCCACUACAGUUGCUGGCUUAGGCAUCUCUUUGAAUGGUUAUCCACAUUCUACUAAAAGCGAGCUCCUCUGUUUCUUCUUCCAUCGCAACAGAAGUGUGUUGGUUGAUGUUGUAUGAGAGGAAGUUCCUCUGUGUUGUCUAAUGGCAUCAUGUGACUCGUCUUGUCCAUUUUAAAAAAAUUGCAAAUUGGAUGUCAUUUCUUACGCAGGUGUGAUAAGGUUGCCUUGCUCUUGCAUUCUCUUAGAUAAUUUGAUUCAGCUUGCUGCCUGAAUUAAAUUUUUUGGUAGAGAGAAUUCGAGAGUAAGGCUACCUUAUGAUACGUGCAGAAGAAGUAACAUCCAAUUCACUUUUUCUAGAGAUGGAUGAGUCAUAUGGUUUCAUCAGCCAAUACACUUCCUUUCCAUCCAAAGAAAAUAUAAUUCAUAGGAGGAAUGCAAGGUACUUUGGAACUGUAUGACAGUGGACGCCUGUCGGAAGAACAGGGUUUUGGUAUGACUUAAAGUGAAAAUUAUGAUUACCGGAGAGGUUUCAAAUUUGGAGAUCUCGGGUUUUUCUUGCAAUUGGAUUUUGACGGGUAUGUUGUAGCCGAGCCAGGAACAAUAGAGACUAGCUCAUGCACGUUUGUGUUGCUAGGUAUAUUCAAGACAAGAAGUACAUGCAAAGCCACUACAACUGCUGGCUCAGGCAUCUCUUUGAAUGGUUAUCCACAUUCUACUAAAAGCGAGCUCCUCUGUUUCUUCUUUCAUCACAGCAGAAGUGUGUUGGUUGAUGUUGCAUGAGAGGAAGUUCCUCUGUGUAUUCUAAUGGCAUCAUGUGACUCGUCUUGUCUAUUUUAAAAAAAUUGUAAAUUGGAUGUCACUUCUUACGUAGGUGUGAUAAGGUUGCCUUGCUCUUGCAUUCUCUUAGAUAAUUUGAUUCAGCUUGCUACUUGAAUUAAAUUUUUGGUAGAGAGAAUUCGAGAGUAAGGCUACCUCAUGAUACGUGCAGAAGAAGUAACAUCCAAUUCACUUUUUCUAGGGAUGGAUGAGUCAUAUGGUACCGUCAGCCAAUACACUUCCUUUCUAUCCAAAGCAUAUACAAUUCAUAGGAGAAAUGAGUUUAGGGCUUCGAAAAUAAUGCAUAGUACUUUGGAACUGUAUGACAGUGGAGGCCUGUCGGAAGAAGAGGCUUUUGGCAGGACUUAAAGUGAAAAUUAUGAUUACCGGAGAGGUUUCAAAUUUGAGAUCUCGGGUUUUUCUUGCAAUUGGAUUUUGACGGGUAUGUUGUAGCCGAGCAAGGAACAAUAGAGUCCAGCUCAUGGACGUUUGUGCUGCUAGGUAUCUUCAAGACAAGAAGUAUAGGCAAGCCACUACAGCUGCUGGC